GUGUUUUCUUCCUGGGAACAGUUUAAAGACACAUGUAAAAUCGAUCAGGUAAGACCAUGAAUCAAAAAGAACCCCAGGCAGAAGGAAUGACAGCUAUAGUUUUUGUCUGCAGGCUAAGUGAAGGCAGGGAACCUCAGAGGUGAUUCAUUGCCUCCCACCAGUGUCUGGCAGGCAGCAGGUCGCUGGCAAAGAUGUUUCAUGGAAAUUAAACACAGGUCUCCCCUUUGGAAACCCCCUAUCCCAUCCCUUCUUCCCCUGCCUUUAUGAGGGUGCUCCCCUACCCACCCACUCACUCCUGUCUUCCCGCGCUGGCCUUCCCCUACACCGGGGCAUUGGACACCCUCAGGCCCAUGGGCCUCUCCUCUCACUGAUGUUCAACAAGGCCAUCCUCUGC